rnacentral:rRNA from 1 species
AAGCCGGUGAAGGUCAACCGUGAGGUUGGCUGGAGGUAUCGGAAGUGAGAAUGCUGACAUGAGUAACGAUAAACAGUGUGAGAAACACUGUCGCCGAAAGACCAAGGGUUCCUGCGUAAAGCUAAUCUGCGCAGGGUUAGCCGGCCCCUAAGGCGAGGCAGAAAUGCGUAGUCGAUGGGAACCACGUUAAUAUUCGUGGGCCUGGUGGUAGUGACGGAUUGCGUAACUUGUUUGCUCUUAUUGGAUUGAGCAGGCGGGGAAGCGGUUCCAGGAAAUAGCUCCACCGUAUAGACCGUACCCGAAACCGA